rfam:Trichuris suis scaffold74.11, whole genome shotgun sequence.
GGGGCUGUAGCUCAGUGGUAGAGCGUACGCUUUGCAUGCGGAAGGCCCGGGGUUCAAACCCCCGCAGCUCCA